UACGAAGGGGGCUAGCGUUGCUCGGAAUCACUGGGCGUAAAGGGUGCGUAGGCGGGGCUUUAAGUCAGGGGUGAAAUCCUGGAGCUCAACUCCAGAACUGCCUUUGAUACUGAAGAUCUUGAGUUCGGGAGAGGUGAGUGGAACUGCGAGUGUAGAGGUGAAAUUCGUAGAUGUUCGCAAGAACACCAGUGGCGAAGGCGGCUCACUGGCCCGAUACUGACGCUGAGGCACGAAAGCGUGGGGAGCAAACAGG
rnacentral:rRNA from 1 species